GACGUUGGUGAGAGAAAAUUAGCAUUCUUCUUCUCCUCGAAGCCAAGAAUUUUCAUUCUUCAGUUUUCCAUCAAAAGCAUUUUGAAGACCAGAAAAAACCUUUCCGGUUGAAGAAAUCGUUUUAACUGUUCGCGAACGGUUUGCUGUUUCAACAAAAAGGAAAACGACGACAACGAGCGGUGGUGGUGACACCGACAACAGUAGUUGGCACAUUCCCGAGGUUGCACCGCUAUCUACUCUGCCGCGGGAAGGAGAAAUCGAAAGAAAAGGAGAGAGUUCCGACACGCUAUCUAUCGGCGUCAUUGUUGGUGGAUGCGGCAUCGUUGUUGAUGGCUUCGGCGUUGCUGUUGGUAUUUGGUGGUGGCUGGUGGAGAAACAUUGGUUCUAUGGCAGCAGUGGUCUGAAGGGGAAGAGAAGAAAACCCUAGGUUUCCUUCAUCAAAGGUAUUUAAAUAGUAAAGGUAUGAAAAAACAAAUUAAAAUAUCGAAGCAAACUAUAAAGCUGGAGAGAGAUUAAAUGCAAGAAUAUUAAAGAUAAAUAUAUUGACUUCAGAAAGUUGCCCUAUAAUAAGGGUAAAUCUAGAAGACAACCUAAUAUCCUCAAGGGGAAAAAAUUGGAAUCCAAUGAAAAUAUGGACGGGUUGCUUGACAAUGAUUCAUAAGGAAUGAAAACAUUUGUAAUUUGGCGAGGAAAAGCAAAUAAGGGCAGUCAAGGAAAGAUUACUUGAGGAGUAUGUACCUAGACAGUGGAUGAGUUUGAAAAGUUGAUUCAAAGCUCCCCCAAGUUUUAUCUGGAUCAAUAACAUGGAUUUCAUGAAAAAUUGUUUAUUUUUAUUUACUUCUUUAGGUUUAUUUUGAGAAGUUAUACAUAUCAUAAGUUAGUACGUUAUUGGACUUUACAGUUAUUUUAUGACUUUAUUUUUUGUUGGGUUUAUUGUCUUCUUAUUGUUUGUUCUAUUAAAAUUCCUUAAUGUGUUGUAUUCCAGAUAUAUUAGAAUGUCUUGAGAAGGUAUAAAUUUAUCUAAUACUCUGUGUGUGUUCUUCAUUUUAGAGAAUAAACUGAAUCAGGUUGAAGAGCAACUUUUUAGGAAAGCAUCAGAUAAUUGUUUGAACUUGAAGAAACCAGAUAACAAUUAAAUUAUUUCAUGACUAAAUUAGAGUG